AAUGGGAAGUACAACGAGUUGCGAAGUCGCGAGGCUAAGCUAAUCUCUUAAAGCUUCUCUCAGUUCGGAUUGCAGGCUGCAACUCGCCUGCAUGAAGCCGGAAUCGCUAGUAAUCGCGGAUCAGCACGCCGCGGUGAAUACGUUCCCGGGCCUUGUACACACCGCCCGUCACACCACGAGAGUUUGUAACACCCGAAGUCGGUGAGGUAACCUUUUUGGAGCCAGCCGCCUAAGGUGGGAUAGAUGAUUGGGGUGAAGUCGUAACAAGGUAGCCGUAUCGGAAGGUGCGGCUGGAUCACCUCCUUUCUAAGGAA
rnacentral:rRNA from 1 species